GAUGUUUGGUUGUUGCUGGGUGACGGGUGUGUGCCAGUCACCGCCAUGAUGGCUGGGAGUGGGCUCCACUGUGAGCUAUGAUGGGCCAUGUGCAGCCUGCGGGCUGCAGGUGGGACAUGCCUGAUGUAAAGGCUAAGGUGGGGGAAGCAUGGGGUCCUCAGCACUAUCUCUGUAUUUUACCCAGUACCUGCUAAAAUGUAUAAAAAAGAGUUCUUCUGCUGAUAAAAAUUGCAGUCAUCCAUUACUGGAAAAAUGCUACUUAAUUGCAGGAAAUGGAGAUUACACGUGACAGUAGGCCUCUACUGGGAUACUAGGACACAGAAGCUGCCUUCUAAGGAGUACACUCAGCUCAUUAGGUACUGAAGAAGCUUUACUGAAUAAAGCCUAUAUAGACAUUUCUUUCUGCCUGUUACC